GAUGAACGCUGGCGGCGUGCCUAAUACAUGCAAGUCGAGCGAACGGACGAGAAGCUUGCUUCUCUGAUGUUAGCGGCGGACGGGUGAGUAACACGUGGAUAACCUACCUAUAAGACUGGGAUAACUUCGGGACACCGGAGCUAAUACCGGAUAAUAUUUUGAACCGCAUUGUUCAAAAGUGAAAGACGGUCUUGCUGUCACUUAUAGAUGGAUCCGCGCUGCAUUAGCUAGUUGGUAAGGUACCGGCUUACCAAGGCAACGAUGCAUAGCCGACCUGAGAGGGUGAUCGGCCACACUGGAACGGAGACACGGUCCAGACUCCUACGGGAGGCAGCAGUAGGGAAUCUUCCGCAAAGGGCGAAAGCCUGACGGAGCAACGCCGCGUGAGUGAUGAAGGUCUUCGGAUCGUAAAACUCUGUUAUUAGGGAAGAACAUAUGUGUAAGUAACUGUGCACAUCUUGACGGUACCGAAUCAGAAAGCCACGGCUAACUACGUG
rnacentral:rRNA from 1 species